rfam:Hordeum vulgare subsp. vulgare, WGS project CAJW01000000 data, contig: morex_contig_1431815
CUUUAACAAUCCGGAACAAGCUGAAAAUUGAAACGACGCAGCGCGCCAUUCCUCCGUAAUAUGGAAUGACAAGGCGAUGCGUUCGAGUCUCUCAAAUGCUUGCAAUUCGCAGCGUUGUAAAACGCCUGUGG